GAUAAACAUUUAAUUUAAUGUUUAGUCUAAGAAUAUAGGGGUAGAGCUCUGUUAUUCAAUAAUAAGUAAAAUAUAAGUUAAUAAAUAAAUAUUUUAAUAAUUAGGUUUUUUAGUGGCCAUAUUUUUAAAGUGUUUUAACUAAUAUAAUUAAAUAAUUUAUUUAUUUAAACUUUAUUUAUUUAAUAAUAUGUUUUUUGUAACAAGUGAAUAUCAGUAAUAAUGAAAAUAUUAGUAGAAUGAUGAUAUGAAUAAAAUAAAAAGUAUUAAGAAUUAAAAUAUAAUCUGGUCUAAAAAGAGUAAAAGAACUCGGCAAACAAAGUUCUUGCCUGUUUAACAAAAACAUGUCUCUAUGAAGUUAUAUAAAGUCUGACCUGCCCGUUGAAAUUUAUUGAAAGGCCGCGGUAUAUUAACUGUGCAAAGGUAGCAUAAUUAGUAGUUUUUUAAUUGAAGGCUUGUAUGAAGGGUUGGACAAAGGAUAAGCUGUUUUUAUUUUUGUUUUUGAAUUUGUCUUUUAAGUGAAAAGACUUAAAUAAAUUUAAGGGACGAUAAGACCCUAUAAAUCUUCAUAUUAAUUUAGUUUUAUUUUAAAUUUUAAUGUUUAAAAGAAUAAAAUUAUAUAGUAUUGUAUUGGGGUGAUAGGAAUAAUGAAUAAACUGUUCAAAAGUAAAACAAAGAUAUUUGGGAGCAUAAAAGAUCCUUGUUGGAGAUUAGAAGUUCAAGUUACUUUAGGGAUAACAGCGUUAUUUUUUUUGAGAGUUCUAAUCGAAAAAAAAGUUUGCGACCUCGAUGUUGAAUUAAAAUUUCUUUGUGGGGUAGCAUUUACACAAGAGAGUCUGUUCGACUUUUAAAAUUUU
rnacentral:rRNA from 1 species